rnacentral:rRNA from 1 species
GACGAGGGGUCCAAGCGUUGUUCGGAAUCAUUGGGCGUAAAGCGGGUGUAGGUGGCUCUAUAAGUCAGAAGUGAAAGCCCCAAGCUUAACUUGGGAAGUGCUUUUGAUACUGUGGAGCUUGAAUGUGGGAGAGGAUCGUGGAAUUCCAGGUGUAGUGGUGAAAUACGUAGAUAUCUGGAGGAACACCGGUGGCGAAGGCGGCGAUCUGGCCCAACAUUGACACUGAGACCCGAAAGCGUGGGGAUCAAACAGG